GUUUUUCAGGAAUUUCUUUCAGGUUCAAAUGUCCUUGGCUGGAAGGAGACCCACACAGACACAUUUGGGAGAAAUCUGAUAAUGGCUGAAGAGUUUGGGACAAACCUGAGGCACACGUGGGGCUUAAUGUUCAGGUUGUGAGUGUUCGUUCAGGUACGAUUGGGAAACUUUGCAUUAGUGGAAAACUUUACCCUGGGAAGUACUGACCAUCCCUGAACAAUGUGAGAAAGUUUAUGAGGAGAAGAUCUUCCUGGGAUCCCUUUUUAAAGACCCAAAGAAUGUGUCAGCGAGAGGUGGCAGUGAGGGCCUCCUCCCCACUGUGUGUGGCCAGUUCUCCCAAAGAAGAAACCUCCUCUUACCCCGCACCCCUCUCACUCCACCCAGUUGCUCCUGCAGCUCUUUUAAGCACGGUUACUUGCUCAGCCUGGCAGCAGUUGCCAUUCGCUGCUAUUUUCCUCUGUUUCCCUUCCUGCUUUUGUCCUGCUUGUUAACUGCGCUUCAACCAGGUGUCUCCCCACCAGCACCCUUUGUUUCCUGACUGGACUUUGAAAGGAGGCCACCCUCUUGCCCUUCUUCGGUGGAACAAAACAGACAAAAUAUGCAGAUUCUUAACUCAAUUUAAAAGCUAAAGCCAAGCCAGGAAAAGGAAAAGAUGAGAAACCCCAAAUCAAGCACACCACGUUGAAUAGCAUGUGGAAAAUUGGCAUUUCCAGUGAAUAAAAAUUAACUGGCAAACAACAAAAGGAAAAACGGAGGAAUGCUGUUGGAUGCUGUUUGGCUCGUCUUGUCUUGUCAGAGAAGGAACACGUGUGAAUCAAAUGGUUGAAGAUGAAUUUUACCUACACGUCUGGCUCCUGUUCAGAUGUUUUAGAUUUCUUAGUCAACUUUAUUUGCUUGGAGCAAGAAGAAUACAGGUACAGUGCCUGGCUACCCUAGUUCCUCAGGUACAUUUUCCACUUUCCAUGUUCCUAUACGACAGUGUCACAGAUUUCUGCCACUGUGUCAUAAAGAUCACUUUCCUCCUGUAUCCAGCAACAUUCUCUCACAUUCCUGUGAGCCCUCCCAACAGCCUCAGAGGUGGCUAA
rnacentral:lncRNA from 12 species